GGCUGGUCCAAGUGCAGUGCUAUUUACAACUAAUUGAUCACAGCUACUUACAGAUUUAUUUGUUCUUUCUACACUCCCAUUGCUUCACUUGACUUAGCCUUAA
rnacentral:Y_RNA from 10 species